GCUGUGAUGGCCGAGAGGUUAAGGCGUUGGACUCGAAAUACAAUGGGGUUUCCCCGCGCAGGUUCGAAUCCUGCUCACAGAG
rnacentral:tRNA from 1 species